UACGUAGGGGGCGAGCGUUGUCCGGAGUUACUGGGCGUAAAGGGCAUGCAGGCGGUCCGACACGUUUUGUGUGACAGCGGGUGGCUUAACUACCCGAGGAUACGAAAGACGGUUGGACUUGAGGACUCGAGAGGGACACGGAAUUCCGGGUGGAGUGGUGAAAUGCGUAGAGAUCCGGAGUAACACCGAAGGCGAAGGCAGUGUCCUGGCGAGUGACUGACGCUGAGGUGCGAAAGCCAGGGGAGCGAACGGG
rnacentral:rRNA from 1 species